rnacentral:lncRNA from 1 species
AGAACUUGCAGCAGGAGGAAGAAAAGAAACGCCUUGGUCGGGAGGCGAGCCUCAUCACCGCCAUCCCCAUCACCCAGGAGGCUUGCUAUGAGCCUACCUGCACACCCAACUCAGAGCCUGAGGAAGAAGUAGAAGAAGUCGCCAAUCUGACAUCCCGACGGCUGUCCGUGAGUCCAUCCUGCACCUCCAGCACCUCGCACAGGAAUUAUUCCUUCCGCAGAGGGUCAGUCUGGUCCGUACGUUCAGCAGUCAGUGCUGAAGGUGUGUCCCACUGCCACUG